rnacentral:rRNA from 1 species
CCUACGGGUGACAGCAGUGAGGAAUAUUGGUCAAUGGGCGCGAGCCUGAACCAGCCAAGUAGCGUGAAGGAUGACUGCCCUACGGGUGGUAAACUUCUUUUAUAAAGGAAUAAAGUGAGGCACGUGUGCCGUGUUGUAUGGACUUUAUGAAUAAGGAUCGGCUCACGCCGUGCCAGCAGCCGCGGUAAUACGGAGGAUCCGAGCGUUAUCCGGAUUUCGUGGGGUUAAAGGGAGCGUAGAGGGGUUGUUAAGUCAGUUGUGAAAGUUUGCGGCUCCACCGUACAAUUGCAAUUGAUACUGGCAGUCUUGAGUCCAGUUGAGGUAGGCGGACUUCGUUGUGUAGCGG